CCUACGGGUGGCAGCAGUGAGGAAUAUUGGUCAAUGGACGAGAGUCUGAACCAGCCAAGUAGCGUGAAGGAUGACUGCCCUAUGGGUUGUAAACUUCUUUUAUAUGGGAAUAAAAUGUUCCACGUGUGGGAUUUUGUAUGUACCAUAUGAAUAAGGAUCGGCUAACUCCGUGCCAGCAGCCGCGGUAAUACGGGGGAUCCGAGCGUUAUCCGGAUUUAUUGGGUUUUAAGGGAGCGUAGGUGGAUUGUUAAGUCAGUUGUGAAAGUUUGCGGCUCAACCGUAAAAUUGCAGUUGAAACUGGCAGUCUUGAGUACAGUAGAGGUGGGCGGAAUUCGUGGUGUAGCGGUGAAAUGCUUAGAUAUCACGAAGAACUCCGAUUGCGAAGGCAGUUCACUGGACUGCAACUGACACUGAGGCUCGAAAGUGUGGGUAUCAAACAGGAUUAGAUACCCUUGUAGUC
rnacentral:rRNA from 1 species